UACGGAGGGUGCAAGCGUUAAUCGGAAUUACUGGGCGUAAAGCGCACGCAGGCGGUGUGUUAAGUCUGAUGUGAAAUCCCCGGGCUCAACCCGGGAACUGCAUUCGAAACUGGAAGACUAGAGUCUUGUCGAGGGGGGUAGAAUUCCAGGUGUAGCGGUGAAAUGCGUAGAGAUCUGGAGGAAUACCGAUGGCGAAGGCGGCCCCCUGGACAAAGACUGACGCUCAGGUGCGAAAGCGUGGGGAGCAAACAGG
rnacentral:rRNA from 1 species